rnacentral:lncRNA from 8 species
AUGUGUUCAAGUUGGAUGCAGGUGACAUUUCUCCUUGCACACUUGAUUGUUGCAGGAGCAGUGGUAUACCAGUACCCAGGGUCACUAACAGUGGCAGAGGGUACCAAUGUGACAUUUUACUGUGACAUCAGUGAAAUGGGAGGGGAAUGCUCUUAUAUUGUAUGGGUGCAUGUGGGACCUAUGAGAAAGCUCACACUCUGGCCUCGAAAAACCUACAGUGUCCACACCAACACGGCUUGCCUCCUGAACAUCAUCAAUGCCAACAGGACAAGUGUGGGCAUCUUCUACUGUGCCCUGCUUAACGGUGCCAUGCUGAACAUGGGCAAUGGGAGUGUGCUGGAAAUCUCUGACCCUAUCACCUCUGACGUUACUCUGGAGGUCCUGGUGCCUGUGGACUGGCAGGAGGCCCCCUCAUCCCCAGUCCCACUCCUGUGCCUGGUGUCUGGACUGGAUCCCAGUCAGGCCAGGGUGUACUGGGAGGUGGAGGGGAAGGUUCAGUCCUCAGAGCGUUUACCUGAGGUUCAGUCAGAGAAGCCAGCCAGUGUCAGAGUCCAGCUCUCUGUACCUGGCCAUACCUGGGCUGAAGGUGAAGAGAUCACCUGUGUUAUGGAGAGUACCAGUGGGGUGAAGAUGAACAAGACAGUCAGCAGGAUGGGAAAGAAAAUAUUUCAACCCUACAAGCACAACCAGGACGGAGCACAGGUAAAAUAACUUUUUUUAAUAAAUGUUUGUGUAUUAUACUAUUCUUUUUCUGAGAUUAUACUAUUACUAUGUUUUCUACUAUUACAAUUUGUAAUGAUGAUAAUGAUUGUGUUUUCUUGUCAUUCAGGGUCUGACUGAGGUGCAAUAUGCCAGUUUAAAGUUUGGAGCUGUUAGUGGCAGACCCUUACCUGCAGCUAAAAACAGACAAUAUAAGUAGGCUAAAGCUGCCCUAGUAAGACCUUACAUGUGAAUUAAAUUUUCUCCAAAAACAUAAAAGAAGUGCUUAUUCAUUCAGGGUCAUCGGUUUGUCAAAAUGCUCCUGUGCUUUCUUGCUUAUGUUUUCUGACCUACUUAUUUGAGUCAAUGAUGUAAGGAUUUUUGCCUUUAGAAUAAGGAACUUAUGUAGUCAGAUUGUGUAGUCAUUUUACAAGCUUUGUGAUUAGAAAUCAUUUGUCUUGUUGAAAUAAUAGCCAAAUGUAAAUUACAUUAAAGACAAAUACAAGUUUAAUUUAUGGAGUGAACUAAUUUCUCUAGUCAUAUGCUGAUGAGAUUUUUGUGAUAAUAGUCAGCAAUAAAAAUGGGUCACAGAUGGAAUCUUUUUAAUCUCCAACAUAAAUCGUACAUCCUGUUUGUUUCACAUAAUGCUCAGCAAGUACAACAGCACAGCUCCAUUUGAUGGUAAGCAAUUUUGUCCUCUUAGUAUUUCAAAAUAUCUCACAAGUUAGGUGCGUUCUAUUACUUAAAUGAUGGAGCAUCUUUCAUCUCUGUGAUGUUGCAACACAAACCCACAGAUUUACAUAAUUUUUACCCAAACACAGAUGGUGUUUGACCUUAAGCUAUUUGAAAGUGGAAAUAAUUGAUGUAUUAUCUAUUUAUUUAACCUUUAUUUAACUAGGCAAGUCAGUUAAGAACAAAUUCUUAUUUACAAUUACAGCCUAGGAACAGUGGGUUAAUUGCCUUGUUCAGGGGCAGAACGACAGAUUUUUACCUUGUCAGUUUGGGGAUUUGAUCUAGCAACCUUUCGGUUAUUGGCCCAACGCUCUAACCACGAGGCUACCUGCCGCCCCAAUCUAUACAGUAUUCAUAUUCUGUAUUAUUAGUUUAUAGUUCCCAUACACACUAGCUGUAAAUCAAUAAUUUUUAUUGUAGGCUGUGCCAGUUUCCUUCACUUGACACAUCAUUAUGUUGCAGUCACUGUCCACCAGAAGGUAGUAAAGAGGUGUAACUUAGUUUCUGUUUAAAUGCUCCCUGAGUAAGCAGAGGCCAUUCAACCCUCCAGGUGCCAUAGCAGUCCAUAAACCAGAAACCUGGACAUUUUGACUGCCAUUGUAAAACAUUGGAGUUUUAGAAACUGACCAGUAUAUAGACUGCUCUAAAAUACUUUAUCUAAGUCCCCCUUUUCUCUUCAAAAGAUCAACCAGCUGCUUUCACAUUAGACUUUCUUAAAGUAAUUCAUGUCAGAUUGAGGGGUAAGUGUUGACACUGAGCAUAUAUGUAGACUGAUAAUCAGUGUAUAGGAUCAUGGGAGGAAAAUUGAGGGGAAUUGGGGAGAGGGGUUAACAUUUCUCAAUGUAUGCAGGGACUAGAUGUGGAACCAUUGUAAGGAAGGAAGGAAUGGUGAUAUUUGGCUCCUGCCCCCUUCCCCCCGUCUUGAUAGGAAUGCGUGAACUCCUUUCCUCCUGCUCGGUUUGAUGAUGUCAUGGCUUGUGCAUGUCCCUUUGGCACGGACUCUGCCAGCUGCUGAGCUGAGUUUGUUGCAAAACAGACACAGCAUUAUUUCCAUGUUUAAGAGCUCCGUCGGGUGGGUUAAAACAUUGCCUUUAGGUGGAUCAUUCUUCUCUGUCUUCUCCUUCUUUCAAUGCUUACAUUGUAGGUAGACCUGUUGACAUUAAUCUUUAGUGAGUGAAAGAAAGUAAAACAGAAGCAUUUGAUAUAGAUUAUACAGUAGUUUCAUUCAUAUUUUAUAUUCUGCCCUAUGGAUAGACAGGUUGAGUUCAAAGUUCUUGUUACACUACCACUUGUAAGAACAUAUAGAGGUAUGAAUUAUCCCUUGCGUGAGUUUCUUUCAUUUUCCACAGAUAUCAAAAGUACAAAAUAUUGCACUUUAACGGUUAAAGUGCAAUAUUCCAGCAUUAAUCUUCCU